CUUCAGACUGCAGUUGCAAUCCCUUUCAGCUCCUUCAGCCCUUCCCUCAAUUUUUCCAUUGGAGUCCUGGGCUCAUUCUGGACAAAAAAUGGGGCAGAGACUAAAGGAAAGGCCAUCCAGAGACUGCCCUACCUUGGAAUCUAUCCCAUCUGAAGACACCAAACUCCAGCACUAUUGCGGAUGCCAAGAGAUAAAGCCACAAUGUAAGGUUCCAGAUGGCCACACUUAUUUGGAGACACCAUUUAACACGGUUCUGCUUCUACUUCCAUGAGAACCUAGUGAAGAAGACACAGCCAGAGCUUUGAUCAAAGAUUCCAAAUGCAAAUACAACUAACCACCCAACUGGUCCCAUCAGCCAAUGUAUCUCUUUGUUACCUCAAGGGAGAUUGAUUUACGCUUUCAUCAAUAAAUCUUCAUAUUUUCAAUGUU
ensembl:lincRNA 1700023F02Rik RIKEN cDNA 1700023F02 gene